rnacentral:rRNA from 1 species
GUACUUAACACAUGCAAGUCGGAACGGUAACGAGGUCUAGCUUGCUAGAUGCUGACGAGUGGCGGACGGGUGAGUAACGCGGUGGGAAUCUCGCCUUCUAGGUGGGGAUACGCCCGGAAGAAAUCCGGAUUAAUACCGCAUACGCCCGUACGGGGGAAAGCCGGGGGAUCUUCGGACCUGGCGCUAGUAGAUGAGCCCGCGUGAGAUUAGCUUGUUGGUGGGGUAAUGGCCUACCAAGGCAACGAUCUCUAGCUGGUCUGAGAGGACGAUCAGCCACACUGGGACUGAGACACGGCCCAGACUCCUACGGGAGGCAGCAGUGGGGAAUAUUGGACAAUGGGCGAAAGCCUGAUCCAGCAAUGCCGCGUGUGUGAAGAAGGCCUGAGGGUUGUAAAGCACUUUCAAUCGUGAAGAAAAGUUGCAGGCUAAUACCCUGUGACCUUGACGUUAACGAUACAAGAAGCACCGGCUAACUCCGUG